GACGAACCGUGCGAACGUUAUUCGGAAUCACUGGGCUUAAAGCGCGUGUAGGCGGGACGGCACGUCGGUCGCUGAAAUCCCCCGGCUCAACCGGGGAACGGGCGCCGAUACGACCGUCCUGGAGGGACGUAGGGGGACCUGGAACUUCCGGUGGAGCGGUGAAAUGCGUUGAGAUCGGAAGGAACGCCCGUGGCGAAAGCGAGGUCCUGGACGUUUUUCUGACGCUGAGACGCGAAAGCCAGGGGAGCGAACGGG
rnacentral:rRNA from 1 species